rnacentral:lncRNA from 1 species
CAGAACUUGAAGUAUGUACAGCAAAAAUGCAUGGCAUACAAAGAGGAGCUGACAAAAUGCAAUAUACUCCUUUCGGAAACCAAAAGAUGAAAUGUAUUCAACACAACAGAUUUUUUUUUAAUUAAGAUGACUUAAAAGCUUAUAGUAGAAUUAUGCAUCCAAAAAUUAAAGAAUACACAUUUUCAGCAGAUACAGGAUAUGAGGGAGUGGGAACCUUAUUGAUGAGAAUGGUGCAAUGAUGAUGAAGAAUGAAGUGGGCAAUGGGGUGCUGGACAGCUGAGGCUCACCAGAAUAUGAACAUAAAGCCCACCCUCAUCAAGAACACUUACCUGAAAGAGAGGCAGUGAGAGGAUAGGCAGCUGGUCCCAGACACAUUCUGAGAAUGUGUAUGUGUGAGUGUGUACAUAGGUAUGUAGGUAUAUCUUAAACACCCAUAUGACUCUUGGAGAGCACACCCGUGGCCUUGCAUCUCUCCAUACUUCACUUCUGGGCACCCAGAAUCCACGGUGUGGUCUUUUAAGUAACCUAAGUAAAGGCCCUCAGGGUGCCCAGCAUUAGCUCUUUGCUUACUUCUGCCAACCCCAACCUUCCACCUCCCAAAAGACAAGGCACAACUAUUAUUAUGUGUAAAACUGACCCUGGAGGUUGCCUGAGCUCCCAAGAGAUGAGGAUAAUUAGUCUUAGGAAUUCAGGAAAUGUUCCAGACUUUGCCAAUCUUGGAGGAGUUUGAAGAGAGAGAGGGUGAAGAUAAAACUGAAUCAAUGGAUGGAUGGAUAAAUAAGCAAACUGUGGAGUAUAUGUAGAAUGCGAAUAUUGUUCAGGCUUAAAAAAGGAGGAUAUCCUGCCAUUUGACGUAACAUAAAUGGACCCGGAGGAGAUGAUACUGAAUUAAAUAAGCCCAUCACAGAGAGACAAAUACCACAUGACCUCACUUACAUGUGAAAUUUGGAAAAACGGGGGGUCAAACAUAUAGAGAAUAAAACGAUUACCAGGGUCGGGGUCACAGAGAGGAAAUAGAGAUAUUAGUCAAAAGAUACAAAAUAGCAAACAUGCAGAAUGAACAAGUCAAAACACCUAAUGUACAACAUGGGCACUAUAGUUAAUAACAGUAUAUUGUAUCAGGAUUUUUGUUGAAUGAGUAGAUUGUAGCUGCUUUCGCUACAUGAGGAAAAAUGGAUAACUAUGUGAGAUGAUGAAUAUGUUAAUUUGUUCCACUACAGUGGAACAUAUAUAUACUACAGAUAUAGAUAUGUUAUAACAUCGUGUUGUAUACCUUAAAUAUACACAAUAAAAUUUAUUUUUAAAACAAAGUUGAAUCUGAUAACUAGAUUGGGGACUAGCAGUUUUGGCAUUCUUUUUUUUUUCUGUAAAAAGAAAACAAUCCAAUUUUUAUUUUUUUUUAUUAUUAUUAUACUUUAAAUUUUAGGGUACAUGUGCACAAUGUGCAGGUUAGUUACAUAUGUAUACAUGUGCCAUGCUGGUGUGCUGCACCCACUAACUCGUCAUUUAGCAUUAGGUAUAUCACCUAAUGCUAUCCCUCCCCCCUCCCCCCACCCCACAACAGUCCCCAGAGUGUGAUGUUCCCCUUCCUGUGUCCAUGUGUUUUCGUUGUUCAAUUCCCACCUAUGAGUGAGAAUAUGCGGUGUUUGGUUUUUUGUCCUUGCGAUAGUUUACUGAGAAUGAUGAUUUCCAAUUUCAUCCAUGUCCCUACAAAGGACAUGAACUCAUCAUUUUUUAUGGCUGCAUAGUAUUCCAUGGUGUAGAUGUGCCACAUUUGCUUAAUCCAGUCUAUCAUUGUUGGACAUUUGGCUUGGUUCCAAGUCUUUGCUGUUGUGAAUAGUGCCGCAAUAAACAUAUGUGUGCAUGUGUCUUUAUAGCAGCAUGAUUUAUAGUCAUUUGGGUAUAUACCCAGUAAUGGGAUGGCUGGGUCAAAUGGUAUUUCUAGUUCUAGAUCCCUGAGGAAUCGCCACACUGACUUCCACAAUGGUUGAACUAGUUUACAGUUCAGUACCGUAAACUACUGUUUCAGUACUGUUUACUACUGUAAACAGUACUGUAAACUACUGUUUCAGUACUGUUUACCAACAGUGUAAAAGUGUUCCUGUUUCUCCACAUCCUCUCCAGCACCUGUUGUUUCCUGACUUUUUAAUGAUUGCCAUUCUCACUGGUGUGAGAUGGUAUCUCAUUGUGGUUUUGAUUUGCAUUUCUCUGAUGGCCAGUGAUGGUGAGCAAUUUUUUCAUGUGUUUUUUGGCUGCAUAAAUGUCUUCUUUUGAGAAGUGCCUGUUCAUGUCCUUCGCCCACUUUUUAAUGGGGUUGUUUGUUUUUUUCUUGUAAAUUUGUUUGAGUUCAUUGUAGAUUCUGGAUAUUAGCCCUUUGUCAGAUGAGUAGGUUGCAAAAAUUUUCUCCCAUUUUGUAGGUUGCCUGUUCACUCUGAUGGUAGUUUCUUUUGCUGUGCAGAAGCUCUUUAGUUUAAUUAGAUCCCAUUUGUCAAUUUUGGCUUUUGUUGCCAUUGCUUUUGGUGUUUUAGACAUGAAGUCCUUGCCCAUGCCUAUGUCCUGAAUGGUACUGCCUAGGUUUUCUUCUAGGGUUUUUAUGGUUUUAGGUCUAACGUUUAAGUCUUUAAUCCAUCUUGAAUUGAUUUUUGUAUAAGGUGUAAGGAAGGGAUCCAGUUUCAGCUUUCUACAUCUGUCUAGCCAGUUUUCCCAGCACCAUUUAUUAAAUAGGGAAUCCUUUCCCCAUUGCUUGUUUUUCUCAGGUUUGUCAAAGAUCAGAUAGUUGCAGAUAUGUGGCGUUAUUUCUGAGGGCUCUGUUCUGUUCCAUUGGUCUAUAUCUCUGUUUUGGUACCAGUACCAUGCUGUUUUGGUUACUGUAGCCUUGUAGUAUAGUUUGAAAUCAGGUAGCGUGAUGCUUCCAGCUUUGUUCUUUUGGCUUAGGAUUGAGACUUGGCGAUGUGGGCUC